CCUGCCCAAAAUCCUCUUUGUGACACUUGGGGUGGGGACAGUUCCCAUUUUCCCUCCCCAAAUCCCCAUUUUCCCACCCCAAAUCCCCAUUUUCCCCUCGGGAAGGUGCUCAGCACCCUCGCGACUCAUCCUGCACCCUCGGGACUCAUCCUGCACCCUCGGGAUGGUGCUCAGAACACUCGAGACUCAUCCUGCACCUUCGGGACUUAUCCUGCAUAUUUGGGAUGGUGCUGAGCAUCCUCGGGACUCAACCUGCACUGUCAGGACUCAUCCUGCACCCUCGGGAUGCUGCUGAGCACCCUCGGGACUCAUCCUGCACCCUCGGGACUCAUCCUGCACCCUCGGGACUCAUCCUGCACCCUCGGGACUCACCCUACACCCUCGGGACUCACCCUACACCCUCAGGAUGGUGCUGAGCACCCUCGGAACUCAUCCUUCACCCUCGGGACUCAUCAUUCACCCUCGCGACUCAUCCUGCACCCUCGGGACGGUGCUCAGCACCCUCGGGACGGUGCUCAGCACCUUAGGGAUGGUGCUCAGCACCCUCUGGACUUAUCCUGCACCAUUGGGAUGGUGCUGAGCACCCUCGGGACAGUGCUCAGCACCCUCGGGAUGGUGCUCCUCACCGUUGGGACUCAUCCUGCACCCUCGAAACGGUGCUCAGCACCUUCGGCACUCAUCCUGCACCUUCGGGACUCAUUCUGUGACAGUGACAGUGCCACCCCCUGUCCCCAGGUGACGUUUGACAACCUCGCCCACAGCGGGCGAGUGAGGAUCUGCCUGGACACCCUCGUGGCCAUCUGGGAGUGCCACCACCCCUCGCUGCCUGGCACAGGUGACAGCGGGUGACAAUGGGUGACAAUGGGUGACAGUGGGCUGUGUGGGUGUCCCCUGGGAGUGCCACCACCCUGCCAUGCCUGGCAGAGGUGACACCAUGGUGGCACCUGGCCCCAAAGGUGACCCUGGAUGUCCCCAGGCCUUGGGAAGUGACCCCAGGUGUCCCGGAGGGUGACCCCAGGUGUCCCCAAAGGUGACCCCUAGUGUCCCCAAGGGUGACCCCAGAUGUCCCCAAAGGUGACCCCUAGUGUCCCCGAGGGUGUCCCCAGGCGUCCCUGAGGGUGACCCCGGGUAUCCCUGAGGAUGUCCCCAGGUGUCCCCAAAGGUGUCCCCAGGUAUCCCCAAAGGUGUCCCCAGGUGUCCCUGAGGAUGUCUCCAGGUGUCCCCAAAGGUGACCCCGGGUGUCCCAAAGGUGUCCCCGAGGGUGUCCCCGGGUGUCCCUGAGGGUGACCCCGGCUGUCCCCGAGGUGACCCCGGCUGUCCCCGUCCCCACAGGUGGACGCCUGGCGUUUGACGUGUUGGUGACAGC
rnacentral:lncRNA from 1 species